UAUUUACAGUUAGGAAACUGAAUUAAUGUGAUCAGUACCUUAGGAAUUAAAUUAUCACAAUGGUAACGGAAGCGACAAUAAUUAAACAUGUUAGAUUAUUUCUAUAAAUUUCAUUGUAACCACAUAAAUUCAAUGACUUCACAGAUUCCUAUACACAGAAGAAUCCUGAUUUAUAUAUACAAAUAAUACGUUUAAUAUGGAGAUGUGACUUCGUGCGUAAAUGUUUCCCGUUUUACCAGGAUACCAAAUUCAAAUCAAAACUUACCAUCCAGCAGAGAACAAGAAGUAACUUCUAAAUUAUUCGUAAUUAUUUCCAAACACCACAUCCUACACGAACACGAACACAUGUUAAGACACGCGUUUUGUUAUGGGCUCUGUGAUUGGUUCAGACUAAUUAUGACAGCUGUAUUGUGAUUGGUAAAGUUGGGCGACAAGUGUAAUCUUGGUCCCAUAGAUGGCAGCAAACAUCGCACAUGUCUCACUUUCCUCCGCGCCAAUUAUUUUUUGAGGGGGGGGGGGCUGAUGUAACUUCAUCCUGGUCAGCGCUACAGUUGAGCGAUGGUGCUGCGAUCCAUGUGCAGAAAUUUAUACCAAGUGGAUACGCCGUGUGCGGAUCACUCUGGCUCCAAGCAGCAGGCAAACGACGCACUGAUACCAACACGAUAAAGCUUGAAAGUUCAUACUUAAUUUGUAUCAUCAUGUUAGUGCCUGACCAUUGUGGUUGUGGAUAAUGAGCUAAAUGUGCUUCAGGAACUGGAAGUGGAUCUUUAAUGUUUCCACUCCCAAGGCAGCAUCUAUACUGAAAGUUAAAUUCUUGCAGAAGAUAGAUAAGGCAUCAAAUUUUAAUAAAAUAUUUAAGACCACACACUACACACACUACAGGCUUUAAUUCUUCUUAGAGUGUUUUUGUUACAGUUUCAUAAAACCACCAAUCAUUCUUAAGAGACCCGGAGUGCAUUAGUGAAAAACUGCCAUUUAGUUGCAAAGAUGGCCGGCAUCAUUGUCUGAGGAGGGAUGCAGAUUUAAGAAAUUCCUACACUUUUGUACUAAGGUAAUAUGAGUCUCUGGACUAAAUACACAUGACAUGCAAGAGCCAUUCUAUUACAACUCCAUCUCUUGUUUAGUCAUUAGAUCUUCUGGAAAACUGUUAUUACUUCAAUGAAUUUGAUUUGUUUCAUUCUAGUCCAUCACACUUAUAUAAUGAAAAAGCUAAAUAGUUCCGUCCAGUGUGACUGGUUAAAAAAAGAAUCUUAACCAGUCACACUGGAUGGAACUAUUUAACUUUUUCAUGUUAUUACUUCCUUUAAUAUUUUAAAUGGAAAGUGUUCUUGAAUUUCUGUGUAAUUUCUGUGUAAUACAGUUACGUUCAAAUUUGAUGAUGUCAGUGCUGUCUUGUUCAUGAACAUUAGUAAUUUAUAUGGAUUAUAUGAGAAAUUUAGACUUCUGUACAGCUGAAGUAAUUCUAUCUGAAGAGUUGUAUCAUCUGGGAUACAAUUCCUUGUGGUCUAUUGAAAGCCAUACAAAGUUUUGGAGGAAUAUGUCACCUCUAUCUUCAGGGUUGGAGAAUAAGCCAAUGAAGAAAUUGGUGUGAAAGCAGAUAGCAAACAGAACUUGAACUCUUCAUAACCACUGCUCUGAGAACCUCAGAUCCUACUUGUUUCUGUUUAAUAGCACCCGAGGAGUAGUGGAGAAGAGAAUUAUAUAACAAGUAAAGGAAUUUCCCAACUGUGGAUCACUGUGAGAUUAUACUACUCACUGCCUACAAGGGAUCUACAUACAGGUACAUUAGAACAUUCGUUGUCUACUGCAUUCGUGUCCAUUCUUUCUGUACUGUCAACAACUCGUAGUUGCUGCAGCAUGAACGCGUUUCAGUAAUAUAAAGUUGCUUAAAGUGAAAACAUAAAAAUGUAGUCAAAUCAAACAGCAGCAGAUGAUUGGUGGCAAUAACAUUGCUUGUCACACUGUAACAAAGAGGUACAAAUUUCUAAUACUUCUAAUAAGUAUCACAGUUGACUAUUUUUAAAACACAGGUGCCCAUUUCUAAUAUGCACACACCUAUUUUAAAAAGUAUCUAAAAUGACAAAGGGCCCUUUACAAAUACAAAACAACACUAAGUUUCAGUCAUUCUAUUUUACCGAUUUCAGUAUAUCAAAUCCUGUUUCGAAGCUUACACUUUCAUACGUUUGAGUAAACAUGAAGUGACAGAAAAAUGUCAUAGUUCUCCAAAAUAAAACUGAUCUUUUAUGAAUCAAUUGAAAAUACUCAGUUUCAGCUUCUUUAAAUGCAUAUGAUUAUAAACAUCUUCAUCAGUAUCAGAACCCAGUUACUGAAUUACACAACAAUCUCUGCAAUGAAAUCUUCUUGUGUCAUCAGCCACUUGAAAAGUAACUCCAAGUUUCAUACUGAUAUGGCUGACAGCACAAGAAGACUUCACUGCAAUCAACUGAUGUGAAAGCUUCAAACCUUAUAAAGCAAUCCCCCUCCCCCUUCCAGUCUUCUUGGAUGUACCUUCCUGGGCACUCCUUCAUCAAUCCGGAGUAGAAUGAACUGGGGCUGACUUUAUGGCUGCUUCAUAUUCAGGUUGAAAAUGCUGACAGCCUUCAUCUCUGGUCAUCAAAAUUCAGGCCCUGGUCAUCAGUUUCGGUUUCCAAAUAAUGCUUCUGUCAGCUUCUGAAGAAACACAUUCGUACCAGUGACACCACGGAGUUGUGCAAAGGUGUGAACACUAACAGUGCUCCUCCAUCAGGCUCCAGCUGAGAAGUUUCAUCUCCAGGAGGAGUAGCUUUUCAGUAAUGGUAUGAAUUCCUGUGAACAAAGAUCUGUAAGGAGAUUCUUUGCACUCAUGUGACAAUAAAACUUGUUCAAACCUGCCUUUCCAUCAUCAGCUGAACUCUCAUGUAUUUUACAAGUUCACACAGUGCAAAUAAAGACCUUAGUUCCCCAUGGGAAACAGGAUAAUAGCUAGUAUUCCCUGAGACAUUCUGCACUGUUCUAUCACAUUCGAUAAACCAUGGCCAAUGUAUUCUGUUUUGCCAUUCACCUGAUGUCCCUCACACCAUUUCAUCUGACCAGUACACUCCAUGCAUUCUUUGUAAUACUAAACAUAUUCUUCUAGCCUACUUGUGACUGGAAGUUCACAGAGCCAUUGUUAAAAGUAGAUGUUACCAACUGGACGUCAAUAAUGUCAUGCAGGUUUGCAUAAAACUAUAUAUAUUGUUGCAAGAUGGACUACUAUAAUCUUCAGCCUUUCACCCAGUAAGUUCUGUUUACUUCACAUAUUAAGUGCUUUCCAUGUUCAGGAAGUCUUUAAUUAGCAAUUUUAUGUACAUGAAAUCAAGAUCAGCAAAAACAAAUAUUUCAGAAAUAGACUUAUUUCUCGCUGUUUCAGUUCACCAUGUACUUUUGUAGUGUAAAUUUAGGAUAGUAUAAAUAAAUGUAAAUUUGGGUAAAGUU